rnacentral:rRNA from 1 species
CGGACGGGUGAGUAAUGUAUGGGGAUCUGCCUGAUGGCGGGGGAUAACUACUGGAAACGGUAGCUAAUACCGCAUAAUGUCUGCGGACCAAAGCGGGGGACCUCCGGGCCUCGCGCCAUCAGAUGAACCCAUAUGGGAUUAGCUUGUAGGUAAGGUAACGGCUUACCUAGGCGACGAUCCCUAGCUGGUCUGAGAGGAUGAUCAGCCACACUGGGACUGAGACACGGCCCAG